AACUUGCAACAACGGAUCACUUGGUUCUGGCAUCGAUUAAGAACGCAGCGAAAUGCGAUAAGUAGUGUGAAUUGCAGAAUUCAGUGAAUCAUCGAAUCUUUGAACGCACAUUGCGCCCCUUGGUAUUCCAUGGGGCAUGCCUGUUCGAGCGUCAUUUGAACCCUCAAGCUCUGCUUGGUGUUGGGUGUUUGUCCCGCCAUUGCGCGUGGACUCGCCUUAAAGCAAUUGGCAGCCAUGUAAUCCGGCUUUGAGCGCAGCACAUUGCGUACUCUCUGCUGAUACAUUGGCAUCCAGAAGCCCAUUUUUUACUCUUGACCUCGGAUCAGGUAGGGAUACCCGCUGAACUUAAGCAUAUCAAUAAGCGGAGGCU
rnacentral:misc_RNA from 1 species